CCAAAAACUCAGUCUUCAUACAGGGAGGCUAUAAAACUGUGUCUUACUGCUGUUCAAAAUCUCCAUUCAUCAUGUCCUGGAUAUCUUGGAUUUUCAACAACUGUAAUGCUUGCAAAUCUCAAAUUGCUUGAAGGAGAUUUUACUGCUGCCAAAGCACUUUUAUACGAAUAUGUGGAUAAAGAAGGUAAGGAUCCCGAAGGAAGAUUGCUAAUGGCCCAAAUUCAUCUGCAGGAAGGAGACUUGUAUGCUGCUAGUCAUUGUCUUGAAGUUGCCUUAAGUUUGAAUUUCGAGGAGGCGUUACAUGAUAGUUCAAAAUUAUCAGAUUUUUAUAACUGCAAGAAGUUUCCAAAGAUGCUGUUAAUGUCCUAAAAGGGUAAAGGCAAAGCAAGUAUUUUAGCAUCAGGUUGUUAUUUGAAAAAAAAAAAAAAAAAAAAAAAAAAAAAAAAAAAAUCCAAAUUCUGCACUUCUAAUAUUUGCUAAAUGUAAGUAUUGAGGAAUUUUGAUAUGCUUUGCACUAACUUUCAUUUUAAGAGGGCAGAUUAUAUUAAAAUGAGCCAUUUUACAGCAGUGAAUGUAUUUGGCCUCAUGUGGCUAAAAUUCAUCUUCUCAGGCUGCUUUCGACUAUUGUACCCACAGAUGAUGCAUGGUCAUUUAGCUAAUUUCUGUAGAAUUGGAAUUGCAUUGAUUUGAAUGUCACCUACAUACUAGCAAAUAUUUCGAGAGAAUAAGAUGGUUUGUAAUAUGUGUGAUGCCUUUAUAUGAUCUAAAUCUAAAGCAUGACACUAAUCAUAUAUAUGCAUGUAUAUACAGUGAACAUAGAUUUUUUUUUUUUUUAACGUGUAAGGUGAUGGAAAAAUUGCUUCAAGGUGAAAUUCAAAAGCUACACUUCCAGCCAGACUAUAGCGAUCAUGAAAUCAAGAACAAACAUCUUUACAAUAACAAUAGUUUAUUAUGAACAACAAUAGUUUAUUAUGAAGGGAUGAUACUUGUUUUCAUAAGGAAAAGACAGACUAAUUCUCCAUAUAGUUUGUUCUUUUUACAUUUUUAUGUACAUUAUUUAUUACAUUUUUCAUUAAGAAGCAACGCACAGAUAGACUAUCCUAUUUUAUAUUUGCAUCAAUAUAAUAUUUACAUAUUCCUAUAUGUAUUUAUACUGCAUUUUUACAGAAACUAAAAGCAAAAGACCUCUAUGUGAAUAAAAUUACUAGGAAUUACUUAUUUUUGA